rnacentral:rRNA from 1 species
GAUGAACGCUGGCGGCGUGCCUAACACAUGCAAGUCGAGCGAACAGAUGAGCAGCUUGCCCUUCUGACGUUGGCGGCGGACGGGUGAGUAACACGUGGAUAACCUACCUGUAAACCUGGCAUAACCUCGGGAAUCCGGAGCUAAUACCGCAUAAUAUACUGAACCGCACGGCUCAAUCGCGUAAGACGGGUUUGCCGUCACUUAUAGAUGGAUCCGCGCCGCCUUAGCUAGUUCGUAAGGUAGCGGCUUACCAAGGCCACGACGCGUAGCCGACCCGAGAGGGUACGAGGGCACGCCGGAACUGAGACACGGUCCAGACUACUACGGGAGGCACAAGUAGGGAACCUUCCGCCAUGGGCGAAGGCCUGACGGAGGCACGCCGAGUGAGUGAUGAGGGUGCUCGGAUCGGAGAACUAAGUUAUUAGGGAAGAAGAAAUGUGUAAGUAACUAGGAACGUCUUGACGGUACCUAAUCAAAAAGCCACGGCUAACUACGUG